AUACGGAGGGUCCGAGCGUUAUCCGGAAUCAUUGGGUUUAAGGGGUCCGUAGGCGGGAAUCUAAGUCAGUGGUGAAAUCUUGCAGCUCAACUGUAAAAUUGCCAUUGAUACUGGAUUUCUUGAAUUAGUGUGAAGUGGUUAGAAUGUGUAGUGUAGCGGUGAAAUGCAUAGAUAUUACACAGAAUACCAAUUGCGAAGGCAGAUCACUAACACUAUAUUGACGCUAAGGGACGAAAGCGUGGGGAGCGAACAGGAUUAGAAACCCCAGUAGUCC
rnacentral:rRNA from 1 species